ACAGCAUCUUAACAGGUCGUAGCCUUGUGCAGUAGGCUGGGAUUUGGUAGCUGGUGCUAAAACUAAUUCUCCUCUGCAACAAUCUCAUCAGCUUACUCAUGGCUUUUUGAGAUUACACUGGAGGAGAACACUC
rnacentral:snoRNA from 1 species